UGCGGGGUAGAGAAGUUGGCCAUCUCGUCGGGCUCAUAACCCGAAGAUCGCAGGUUCGAAUCCUGCCCCCGCUACCA
rnacentral:tRNA from 1 species